rnacentral:rRNA from 1 species
UACGGAGGGUGCAAGCGUUAUCCGGAUUCACUGGGUUUAAAGGGUGCGUAGGCGGGCAGGUAAGUCCGUGGUGAAAUCUCUGAGCUUAACUCAGAAACUGCCAUGGAUACUAUUUGUCUUGAAUAUUGUGGAGGUAAGCGGAAUAUGUCAUGUAGCGGUGAAAUGCUUAGAUAUGACAUAGAACACCAAUUGCGAAGGCAGCUUACUACACAGUUAUUGACGCUGAGGCACGAAGGCGUGGGGAUCAAACAGG